rnacentral:rRNA from 1 species
AUACGGAGGAUGCGAGCGUUAUCCGGAUUUAUUGGGUUUAAAGGGAGCGUAGGUGGGAUAUUAAGUCAGCUGUGAAAGUUUGGGGCUCAACCUUAAAAUUGCAGUUGAUACUGGUUUCCUGGAGUACGGUACAGGUGGGCGGAAUUCGUGGUGUAGAGGUGAAAUGCUUAGAUAUCACGAAGAACUCCGAUCGCGAAGGCGGCUCUCCGGGCCGGAACUGACACUGAUGCUCGAAAGUGCGGGUAUCAAACAGGAUUAGAUACCCUGGUAGUCCGCACAGUAAACGAUGAAUACUCGCUGUUUGCGAUACACGGUAAGCGGCCAAGCGAAAGCGUUAAGUAUUCCACCUGGGGAGUACGCCGGCAACGGUGAAACUCAAAGGAAUUGACGGGG